rnacentral:rRNA from 1 species
CCUACGGGAGGCAGCAGUGGGGAAUAUUGCACAAUGGGGGGAACCCUGAUGCAGCGACGCCGCGUGGGUGAAGGAGCACCUCGGUGCGUAAAGCCCUAUCGGCAGGGAAGAAAGGCGGGCGGGGCCCGUCUGGACGGUACCUGACUAAGAAGCCCCGGCUAACUACGUGCCAGCAGCCGCGGUAAUACGUAGGGGGCAAGCGUUAUCCGGAUUCACUGGGUGUAAAGGGAGCGUAGACGGCGACGCAAGUCUGGAGUGAAAGCCCGGGGCCCAACCCCGGGACUGCUCUGGAAACUGCGGCGCUGGAGUACGGGAGGGGCAGGCGGAAUUCCUGGUGUAGCGGUGAAAUGCAUAGAUAUCAGGAGGAACACCGGCGGCGAAGGCGGCCUGCUGGACCGUGACUGACGUUGAGGCUCGAGAGCGUGGGGAGCAAACAGGAUUAGAUACCCCUGUAGUC